UUUAGACAUGUGUUUCUGCUGUAACUAUGGAUGGAGAACAAUUGGUACGCUUUAGCUGGGCAGCCAAUGAGUAUUGGAUUGCCCAUAAAGAUAGGUUUGGACUAUG
rnacentral:snoRNA from 1 species